rnacentral:rRNA from 1 species
CGAGCGAUAACAUGCCCUUCUUGGUGCUGACGAGCGGCGGACGGAUGAGUGACGCUCACGAAUUUACCCGGUCCUGGGGGAUAACCUGGGGAAACUCAAGCUAGUACCGCAUACCUCCUACGCGGGAACCCGGGGGUUCAGCCUCUCACUAUCUGAUGAUCCUAUGCCGGAUUAGCUGGUUGCUGAGGUAAAGUCUCAUCAAGGCGACGAUCCGUAUCUGGUCUGAGAGGAUGAUCAGCCGCUCCGAGACUGAGACCCGGCCCGAACUCCUACAGAAGGCACCCAUGGGGAAUAUUGAACAAUGGGGGCAACCCUGAUCCAGCCAUGCCCCGUGUGUAAACAAGGCCCUCGGGUUGAAAAACACUUUCCUCGAGGAAGAACGCCCAUUUUCUAAUAGCCGAUAGGAAAGACAUUUCUCGCAGAAAAAGCACCUCCUAACUCCGUGCCAGCUACCUCCGUGAUACCGACGGUGCAAGCGUUAAUCGGAAUUACUGGGCCCAAAACCCGCGUAUGUGGAUUGAGAACCCGGUUGUGAACGCCCCGGACUCAACCUGCCAAGGGUCUCCCGAACUGUCGCGCUAGAGUGCGUGGCACGAGAGUACAAUUCACGGUGUAGCAGUUAAAUGCGUAGAGAUCAAAAGGAAUACCAUUGGCAAAAGCGGCCUUCUGGACUGACACUGACUCUGAGGUGCCUGACCCUGAGUAGCAAACGCGAUUA